rnacentral:rRNA from 1 species
CAGCCGCCGCGGUAAUGCGAAGGGUGCAAGCGUUAAUCGGAAUUACUGGGCGUAAAGCGUGCGUAGGCGGUUUGUUAAGUCUGUCGUGAAAUCCCCGGGCUCAACCUGGGAAUGGCGAUGGAUACUGGCAAGCUAGAGUGUGUCAGAGGAUGGUGGAAUUCCCGGUGUAGCGGUGAAAUGCGUAGAGAUCGGGAGGAACAUCAGUGGCGAAGGCGGCCAUCUGGGACAACACUGACGCUGAGGCACGAAAGCGUGGGGAGCAAACAGGAUUAGAUACCCGCGUAGUCCCUGUCUCUUAUAC